UACGUAGGUGGCAAGCGUUGUUCGGAGUUACUGGGCGUAAAGGGUGCGUAGGCGGUUGUUUAAGUUUGGUGUGAAAUCUCCCGGCUCAACUGGGAGGGUGCGCCGAAUACUGAAUGACUAGAGUGCGGGAGAGGAGAGUGGAAUUCCUGGUGUAGCGGUGAAAUGCGUAGAUAUCAGGAGGAACACCGGUGGUGUAGACGGCUCUCUGGACCGUAACUGACGCUGAGGCACGAAAGCGUGGGUAGCAAACAGG
rnacentral:rRNA from 1 species